rnacentral:lncRNA from 12 species
GUGAUUCCAGGGAAUGGUGCUUGCUCAGACCACCUAAGAUCAGAGAGAAAUGAAGUGUCCCCUCUUCUAUCAACACCACAGGUAUAUGCCUCUUACUCUUACUUUUGAUUGGCUGAAGAAAUGCAUUGAUUGAAUGAAACUAUGGUUUUGAAUCAAAGCAAAAACCAUUUUUAAAUACAGUCACAAUGACGUGACCAUAGUUGCUUAUGGGAAACCCUCUCCUGAUUGACAAAUACAAAAAUUGUCAAACUAAUCUAUACAAUACAUUGAUUAUUCAGGUAAGCUCCACUUAUUAUGUUUCACACAUUGUGCUGCAUGCAGAUUUUUAGGCUGCAAACUGAUCCUUCAGUUUAGUUUGACUGGUCUAUCUGGAUUUGUGUGUUUUCAGGUCACUGAGAAAAAUAGGGAACAGCACCUCCAUGUUGAUGGAGGUGUCGAUACUGACUCUCCAACUCAACCCAAGUGCCAAAGGGAGUUGCGGAGGGUCAAGAGAGAACUGAAUGAGGUGGUGGUGUGGAAACUCAAAUUAUGGACAUUGCUGCUUAUCAUCUUUCUUGCCAUUGCUCUGGUUAUUGGGAUCUCAAUUAUUGUGUGUUCAGCUGUUCAUGACGAUAAGGAUGAAAAAUAUGACAAAUCAUCAUUUGUGGUGGCACGCUUCUUCAGAGGAAAUUUUACUCUGGAUGCUAAUAGUUUCACUUCAAACUCUCAGGAUGAAGAGACUAUGACAGAGCUGAAACAGCAGGUAAUAACAAUAAUGAUCUAUUCAGUACUAGAAAUUGUAGAUACCUGUGAAGGAUUUUUGAGAAACCCAUUCCUAAGCUUUACAUAA